CUUCAGUCUAAGACCAUAUCCUGAACAUGCCCAAUCUCAUCUGGUCUUAGAAGCUAAGCAGGAUCGGGCCUGAUUAGUGCUUGGAUGGAAGACAGAUCUUCAAGAGACUGCUCAGAGACAAGCAGUUUGGAGA
rnacentral:rRNA from 1 species